rnacentral:lncRNA from 1 species
CACUUUUGCCUUUUUAUGUAUUUAUUUUUUGCCCGCAGUAUCAGUUACAAGCUGACAUGACUCAUUCUCAUCAUCGGCCGUCACGUGUCAGCAGAUUUAACCGGCAACGGUAACUCAUGAGACGGACGCUCACCACAAAUGUGAGCUGGGACUGGAUCCAAAGCCACCCCCCACCUCCAGCCCUGCCUGAGCCCAGGAGAUGUUCCAGUUCCCUUAUCUUCCGUGUUUCUCCGUGCCGGACAGCUAUUUAUAAACCAUACCAUCAGCAUCGCAGAGGUGGGACACUGGAAAAUGGACUGCGGCAGGAUGAUGCCGACACUGAUAUCGUUCCUCAGCUUGUUGCCGUUCGCCGAAAUGCUCAUGGGGAAGGAUUGUUUAAUUUGCCCGAAUCCGACAGUCAGUACAAAAGAAGGAGAUGACGUUGUUCUUCAGUGUCAUGCACAUCCCAUAGUCAACUUAUCUUCCUACACAGUGGAUGUGAAGAGAACUGGCCACAAAGGUGUGGUGCAUGCAUAUCGACAUGGACACGACCAUCCUCACGACAAGAUGGAUGAGUACGUAAACAGGACGACCCUCAUCCAUGAAGACCUGAGCAAAGGGCUCGUGACACUGCGGAUCUCCUCAGUGAAGCAGUCUGACAGUGGUGCAUACAAAAUCUAUGUCCCAAAAACCAAGUGCAGUUUCAUUAUAAACAUCACUGUUGGUGCUGCAAAGACAGAACCUGUCUGGAUCAUUGUCACUGGCAGUUUCAUCGGUGCUGUUCUCAUUGCUGCUGCUGUUGCUGUUUCUAUCCUGGUGAAACGAGGAAAGAUCCCUUUAAGAAGAUGCUCCAGAUGCUCCGGAGAAGGAAGGAAGGAGGGAGAAGCAGAGACACCGUGAAGCAGUGAACUGACACCACUGCAGAAAGUGGCCUCAGAGAAGUGGCGCACUUGUGUGUGACAAACGGGGAGUAAAAGGAUUUAUAUAUAGUUUAUAUUUAGUCUGGAAUUUAUCCUAUCAUAUCAUUGUUAGUGCAUGUAGUGAAGAAGUGGGAUGGGACACACUCUGUAUUGGUAGUCAGUAUUUCUAACUCUAGUGCACUGAUACAGUCUCAUUCAUAAAGAAACACUAUGCCCCUUGAUAGGCUACAUAGAAUAACACCCAACAGAACAUACAGAACAACAACUACUGAUAAUAACUAUUCUAUAAAGAUGAUCAGGGAUUCAUAGUAUUAUUAUUACUCUUACUUAAUGAGCUUAUCAUUGCUAUCAUACUGAUUUUUAAAAAAUAUAUAUAUAAUUAACUUAAUUUCUAAGUAUUUAUUGCACACCCACAGUGAGGUGACAUAAGAUUAUGUAAUACAAUUAGGUGCAAGCUCUGAGAGUUUAAAAUGGUUUUCUAAUGCACGAGUCCACAACACUGUCAUGUAUGUGCCAGAUAUGUUUUCUGUCCUGCUAUUUCAGCUCAGUUACACGAUAUGCAAAAGCCUCUCCGCAGCUAUUCUGAUUCAGGUUUUCUCUUUUUUAAAUUAAAAUUUUUUUUUUUUACUUAAAGCCUUUUUACUUGAGUCACCAAAGAAAUCAAUGUUCAAAGCUAUAUGCAGAGGGUGAAGUAAUGCGUGGGAGUUCUUAGGGAUGGGUGGGUGUGUUGGAGGGAGGGAUGCAGGUGCUGAUCUGGCAUCUACGUGAUCACCCUUCUGUACGUUGUUGGUUACUAAUAAAAAGUAAUGUUGAAUAAAUUAAUGACAUUAAGUUAAUAAACUUAUUUAUAAAAUUUAAGUUGUCAUUGUGGUAAUUGUUGUACAGCCUCUUUGCCAUUGUGUUUAUCUGAGUUUGGUCCUCACCAGGGC